rnacentral:lncRNA from 1 species
CGUUAACAUAACUCCAAAGUAGGUCGAUGUUUUCGGUGGCCGUUAACUUUUUUAUUUGUUCGAGUUAAUGCAAAACAGCAAAUAAUUGCACGAGGAAACGUAAUAUUAAAUACUAAGGAUUAUUAUUAAAGCAAACAAAAACAAAGAUUAUGGAUUUAUCUAUGUAUGGCGAAAAUUUGAAUUUCAGCAGUUCUGAUGAAAUAAGCUCUGAUGAAGAAAGCGGAAAUAUAAAAGAAGUCUAUGAACAAAGUUUGAGUAUCAUUGAAAAUAAUUGUUUACCUACACGUGAUAUUGUUUAUG